GUUGUGUUUUCGGUGGUCUAAAACUACCGAUCAUGUGUAAAAUAAACGUAUAAUAAAUAUAGUUAUUGGAUUGUUAACUCUUUGUGAUUAUUUAAACAUGUCCCUAUAAGAACAGAAAGUCGCUGUGUUACCAACUCCUCCAAAUCUCCUCCCCAGCAACCAGCAGAAAUGAGAAUUUUAUUUUAUAAUGAUAGAGAAUGUUGGGGCAUUUCU